rnacentral:rRNA from 1 species
AUUGAACGCUAGCGACAUGCUUUACGCAUGCCAGUUGUACGGCAACACUGGCCCCUGGCUUGGUGGCAAGUAGCGAACGGGUGAGUAAUACAUCAGGACAUGCCUCAUAGUGGGGAAUAGCUCGGCGAAAGUCGAAUUAAUACCGCAUACAAUUUGCCAUUAGGCCAAAUGAAAGUAGGGGACUGUUAGAGCCUUGCGCUUUGAGAAUGACUGAUGGCCGAUUAGCUAGUUGGCAAGGUAAAUGCUCACCAAGGCGAUGAUCGGUAGCUGGUCUGAGAGGACGGCCAGUCACACUGGGACUGAGACACGGCCCAGACUCUCAUGGGAGGCAGCAGCGGGGAAUCUUGGACAAUGGGGGAAACCCUGAUCCAGCAAUGUCGUGUGUGUGAUGAAGGCCCUAGGGUUGUAAAGCACUUUUGUUCGGGAAGAAAGCUAGUCCAACUAAUAAUUGGGUUAGCGUGACUGUACCGAAAGAAUAAGCACCGGCUAACUACGUGCCAGCAGCCGCGGUAAUACGUAGGGUGCUAGCGUUAAUCGGAAUUAUUGGGCGUAAAGAGUGCGAAGGUCGCUUGGUAAGACUAUACGUUAAAGCCCAGGGCUCAACCUUGGGGUGCGGUAGUAACUGGCAAGCUAGAGUAUGAAAGAGGAGGGCAGAAUUCCAUAUGUAGCAGUGAAAUGCGUAGAGAUAUGGAGGAAUACCAAAGGCGAAGGCAGCCCUCUAGGUCAAUACUGACACUCAAGCACGAAAGCGUGGGGAGCAAACAGAAUUAGAUACUCUGGUAGUCCACGCCCUAAACGAUGUCGACUAAUUAUUGGAUCGGGAUCCUUUUCAGUAAUGUAGCUAACGCACUAAGUCGACCGCCUGGGAAGUACGACCGCAAGGUUAAAACUCAAAGGAAUUGACGGGGACCUGCACAAGCGGUGGAUGAUGUGGAUUAAUUCGAUGCAACACGAAGAACCUUACCUACCCUUGACAUGGUCGAGAUUCUGCUGAGAAGUGGAAGUGCUCGAAAGAGAAUUGGCCAACAGGUGCUGCAUGGCUGUCGUCAGCUCGUGUUGUGAAAUGUUGGGUUAAGUCCCGCAACGAGCGCAACCCUUAUCUUUAAUUGUUUGCUAAUGCCAUAGUUACCUUAAAGAGACUGCCAACGAGAAGUUGGAGGAAGGUGAGGAUGACGUCAAGUCCUCAUGGCCCUAAUGGGUAGGGCCUCACACGUCAUACAAUGGCCAGAACAAAGAGUUGCCAACUUGCGAAAGGGAGCUAAUCUCACAAAUCUGGUCCCAGUUCGGAUUGUACUCUGAAACUCGAGUGCAUGAAGCAGGAAUCGCUAGUAAUCGCGGAUCAGCAUGCCGCGGUGAAUACGUUCUCGGGUCUUGUACACACCGCCCGUCACACCAUGGGAGUAAUUCUUACCAGAAGUGACCAACCUAACCUUUGGUAAGGAAGGAAGUUACGAAGGUAAGGGUUAUGACUGGGGUG